UAUCCGCCUCAAGCUCAAGGUGCCGUCCCGCUAGGGAGGGGCGGAGAAUUGGGAAGCCGGUCGAAGCCCGGCGCUGCCCCCGCAACGGUGGUGGAGCUCGAAGGCCUGGCGGAAGCCACUGGGAAAGAGCCGCAAAGGCUGCCCGGGAAGGCGCCAGGCCGGUCCCGCAAGGGGCAGCUCCUGAGCCCGGAAACCAGCCUGAAGUGAACGAGAUUU
rnacentral:ncRNA from 2 species